CCUUCAGCCUUGUUGUUGAGCUGCGUCUCCUUGUUGUAGAACAGUUCCUCUUGUGUCUCCGUGGAGAACUUGAGGUUGGGGCCCUUCACGAUGUGUUCCACAGGGCGGGCCUCCGGUAGCAGCUGCACUAGAUGCACUUGGCCUUGUCGAUGUCAUAGCGGGUGGUCCUGCAGGUGACGUGGGUCUCGCUGGUGAUGGCCUCGUAGGGGCAGAGCGCCAGGCAGAGCUGGCCCACGGUGCAGCGCUCCUCUCCUCUCCCCAUGGAUGGAUGCAUGGCGGCGCAGUGCAUGCUCCCCGUGGAAGCACGGACCCAGCGGGCCUUUCUCAGCAUCCUUCCCAGAACAGAGUGGCUGGGUCCAGAGGUGCUUCGACCUCAGAUGCAUGAUGAGUCCAAGCAUCCACCAUGUUACAUCUGGACCACUAGCCUGAAUUGUGUUUGCCUAUUAAUAAUACUCUUGAGAGUUCCUAAGAGCAGCAGCUGGGGCCACGGGGACUGUGAAGAAAACCAAAACCACAAUCUCAGAACCUCUCCUAUUGCAUAAUCAAGAUGUGAAUCACUGUAACUGCUGAGACGCUGACCCCUGCAAAGAAAACCUUCUAACCAAUCUGUGUAGCAACCAAAGAGACCCCAAGUUAUAGCUGUUAUUCCAGAAAUUACUGUAUUUAAGCCAGGAACUCAGAGUUUUAUCUACACGGAAUGUUAUUGUUGAUCAUUUGACCUCACUGUUGAGACAGAGUGAGUUGAUGUUCCUUGCCAAAUAGCUGAGGAAGACAAAGUCUAUGCCUUCACAGCAUUGUUUAAAAAAAAAAAAUUUCUACAGAAAAUCUUCAGUCACUUCCCCACUCAAUAAAAAUUUAGAAUUAAAGCAAAAGUGUAUCAGUCAGGAUUCUUAGUUGCAAACAUCAGAAACUAGCUCCAACAGAUUUAAACAGAAAAAUAAUUUAUCAGAAGAACUGUGGAAAUGACCCUGACGUCUGUUUAAAUAAAAUGGAUAAAUUGUGAUAUACAAUGAAAUAUACAACAAUGAAAAAAGAACAAACCGUCAAUAUGCACAACAGUAUGAAUGUAGCAUAUAGAAAUAAUAUUGAGUUAAGAAGCCAAACAGUAUAUAUUUCCAUUUACAUUAAGUUCAGAAACAGGCAAAACAAAUCCAUGGUGUUAGCAUCAGUGUAGUGGUUAAUCUGCGGUGGAAGAAGGGCUAACAGGAGCCAUGAGGAGGGAUUCGGGGUGCUGGUUAGACAGGUAUGCUCAGUUUGGAAAAUUCAUUGAGCCAUGCACACUUGAUACAUAUUCUUUUCUCUAUGUAUGUCUUCGUGAAAGUCACACAGAAAGAAAUCAACAGACGGGCUAUUAGUAGGUCAAAAUAUCACCAGUAAGUGCUGGAGACACAGGUUUGGGACUGUAAGUCCAAGCAUGCCUUCCAAAUCUGGCACAAAACUUGAAUGAGUACAUCUUGCUGCGGCCACUGAGCAGCAGAUGAUGUCCUUUGCUUUGCAGACCCUGCGCCUGGGACAUACAUGUACCCCUAUCUGACAUUUGGUUAUAUGUGCAUUUGUUUAUUUCCUGUCUCCUCAACUAGAAUGUGAGCUCACUGCUGGCACAAAAUAGGUACUCAGAAAACAUUUAUUGAAUGAAUCUAACUGCCUUGUUCAUAACUGAGCAGGGUUCCCCAUCUCAUGGACGC
ensembl:lncRNA